ensembl:lncRNA
UGAUAGGGAGAGAGAGAGAGUGAUAGGGAGAGAGAGAGUGUGAUAGGGAGAGAGAGAGUGAUAGGGAGAGAGAGAGUGAUAGGGAGAGAGAGAGUGUGACAGGGAGAGAGAGAGUGUGACAGGGAGAGAGAGAGUGUGAUAGGGAGAGAGAGAGUGUGACAGGGAGAGAGAGAGUGUGACAGGGAGAGAGAGAGUGUGACAGGGAGAGAGAGAGUGUGACAGGGAGAGAGAGAGUGUGACAGGGAGAGAGAGAGUGUGAUAGGGAGAGAGAGUGUGACAGGGAGAGAGAGUGUGAUAGGGAGAGAGAGAGAGUGUGAGAGGGAGAGAGAGAGUGUGACAGGGAGAGAGAGUGUGACAGGGAGAGAGAGAGUGUGAUAGGGAGAGAGAGAGAGUGUGAUAGGGAGAGAGAGAGUGUGACAGGGAGAGAGAGAGAGUGUGAUAGGGAGAGAGAGAGAGUGUGAUAGGGAGAGAGAGAGAGUGAUAGGGGACAGGAUAGAGAGAGAGAGUGGGACAGGGAGAGAGAGAGUGUGAUAGGGAGAGAGAGAGUGGGACAGGGAGAGAGAGAGUGGGACAGGGAGAGAGAGAGUGUGACAGGGAGAGAGAGAGAGAGAGUGUGACAGGGAGAGAGAGAGAGUGUGAGAGAGAGAGAGAGUGUGAUAGGGAGAGAGAGAGUGUGAUAGGGAGAGAGAGAGUGUGAGAGAGGGAGAGAGAGAGUGUGACAGGGAGAGAGAGAGAGUGUGACAGGGGGAGAGAGAGAGUGUGAUAGGGAGAGAGAGAGUGUGAUAGGGAGAGAGAGAGUGUGACAGGGAGAGAGACAGUGGGACAGGGAGAGAGAGAGUGUGAUAGGGAGAGAGAGAGUGUGAUAGGGAGAGAGAGAGUGUGACAGGGAGAGAGAGA